GAUACCUUCACAGACCUGCCCAGAGACACAUGGCUUAACUAAUCCUAGAUCCAAUCAAGUUGACCAACCAAGAUUAACACUCACACCUUCUGUUCUCUCUUUAUUCUUGAGGGCCUUGGAUAUAGCAUUAUUUUUGUCUCCAUACCAUGGGUUUAUAGACAUGUACCAUCACACCUGAUUUAUGCAGUGCUGGGAGUUGAAUCCUGGGUCCUAUGCAAAUCCUCUGAGCCACAUCCCCAGCUCAAAAGCAAUAUUGCUUGCUUAUCUAUCUGGCUGCCUGCCUGCCUGCCUGCCUGUCUGUCUGUCUGUUUAUUUUGAGACAAUCUUUCUCUGUAACCCUGGCUGUCCUGGAACUCAUUAUGUAGACCAGGUUGGCCUUGAACUCACAGAGAUGGUCCUGCCUCUGCCUCCGCAUGCAUCAUCACACCCAGCUUAAAAACUUGUUUUUAAGCCGGGCGGUGGUGGCGCACGCCUUUAAUCCCAGCACUUGGGAGGCAGAGCCAGGCGGAUCUCUGUGAGUUCGAGGCCAGCCUGGACUACCAAGUGAGUUCCAGGAAAGGCGCAAAGCUACACAGAGAAACCCUGUCUCGAAAAACCAAAAAAAAAAAAAAAAAAAAAAAACUUGUUUUUAAAAAGUAAUUGUCUUAGCCAGGCCAUGGUGGUACAUGCCUUUAAUCACAGCACUUAGGAGGCAAAGGCAGGUGGAUCUCUGAGUUCAAGGCCAGCCUUGUCUUCAGAGGGAGUUUUGGGACAGCUAGGGCUAUUACAUAGAGAAACCUUGUCUUGAAAAACCAAAAAGAAAGAAAGAAAAAAAGAUUAUCCUAAACAUCAAUUUAGAACAAAUGCUGUCCAACGCAGUGUUCAGUGAAUUUAAACUGUGUUCCAGCCUUGAUCAUAGAGUUAUUUCCUGUGUGUGUCUCACUUAGGUUUAAUUUUUGCAGCAAAUGUGUUUAGUUGAUCUUUUGAGAGGUAGAGGGUUUUCUAGGACCUCGGGAAGCUGGAGACAAGAAUAUGGGGGAUACUUGAUUAUUUAGUACAUUGUCACUUGGUUCCAAAUGACUUUCUUUAUACAAGACUUUUUUCUAAAGAUGGUAGUGAUUGCAAGUAUUCAUUGUAACAGAAACAUACCGACUGUGAGCAUAGAAUGGCAAUGCAAAGCUAAGAACAAAUGGAUGCUACCUUUCUUUCCAUUAAUCUGCAGAGUUCAGUUUGCACAGUGAAGGGGAACCACACACCCACAAGCUGCAUCCAGCCCUUCUUUAUGGUGUUCUCCUUGUUGGUUAGGAGUCUCAUGGGGGAGGGGGUCUUCCUGCUAGUCCUCCCAACCUGUGCAGUUCCACCUCUAAACACGAGAAAGAAGUGAUAAUAAUUGUGGUGGUUGACGUUAGCAUUUGCCGUCCUAAUGUAAUUACGUACUAAAUAUUGUCUUACUUCAUUUGUGCAGAGUUGUGUUCUAGACCUUGUCUUUGCCUUACACUAGCAGUACAGCGAGAACACAGCGGUGCUGUUUUUGAUGUGUGCACAAGCUUCUUGGGAUACUUGUUCACUUCCUCAGGAAUUAGUCUAAAUGCCUAAUGCCCUCAUGAGCCACCCAGUAUCAGUAUCUCUGCAUCCACCACCUGACACGCCUGAUCCCCUCCUCACACUCAGUUUUUCUGUAACAUGAUUUCUUUCCACAGUGUGUAAUUUAGGUUUUCUUUUCUCCUUUAGGAUGUAAGCUCCAUCAGGACAGAGGUUUUUGUCUACUUCCUCCACUGCUGCUAGUGUUUAAGAGUAGAAUGCAGAAGAUAAUGGUGUGAGCUCAGCCUCUCACACUACCAGCGAUGGCCAGAGAACCCAGACGUGGGGGAGAAUCAGAUCUGUGGAGUCUGGGAGGAAGGCCUGCAGAAGCCAACACCUGGAGGACAAGAAAAAUACACCCAACUAUCUUAGCUUCAUCUCCUGCUGCUGUGAUCAAAUACUAAGGACAGAAGAACUUAAGAAGAUGAAGGUUUGCUUUGGCUCACAUCCACACAAUCCAUCAUCGUGGAGAAGUUGAGGCAGCAGGAACUGAUCUCAUUGUAUCCUCAGUGACUGAAGAGGCAGAAAGUGAUGGAUGCUUGUUAGUGCUCAUCUUACUUUCUCUGCUUAUACGUGGCAGGGUCCCCUGCCCGAAGAUGGAAGGGAGGGAAGGAGAAGGGAAUUCUAGAUUCGCUUAAAUUGGUAACAUUAAUCACCACACUAACAAAUGUGAUAUUUUAAUCUGAAUAAAAUCAUCUUUGUGGGGAAAAUAUCAGAUGGAAAUUGGAAGUUAGAAAUAAUUACAACAUUGUGUGAUACACAAA